AUCUAAUAUAAAUAAUAAGUCGCUCUGGAUAAGAGCGUCUGCUAAAUGACUUAAA
rfam:Salmo salar isolate Sally breed double haploid chromosome ssa09, whole genome shotgun sequence.